rnacentral:rRNA from 1 species
UACGAAGGGUGCAAGCGUUAAUCGGAAUUACUGGGCGUAAAGCGCGCGUAGGUGGUUCAGCAAGUUGGAUGUGAAAGCCCUGGGCUCAACCCAGGAACUGCGUCCAAGACUGGGAGGCUUGAAUCCGGGAGAGGGAUGCGGAAUUCCAGGUGUAGCGGUGAAAUGCGUAGAUAUCUGGAGGAACACCGGUGGCGAAGGCGGCAUCCUGGACCGGUAUUGACACUGAGGCGCGAAAGCCAGGGGAGCAAACGGG